UGACUCCCUCUCUAUUGGUCGAUCUUCCUUUUCCUUGACUUGAUGUCGGCAGUCAUUUUAUGAAACGUUGUUACAUAUCUCAGUGAACAUUGCUUCAUGACAUCUCUAGGUGAAGAGUCAGUUGAUGGAAAUGUAGGCUUUCGGUGAAGAUUACUCGGGUAUUUUCAUAGAAAGACUGCAGGAAGAGAAGAGAGGGAGCGAGCGAGAGGAGUGUUUCAUUGUAACAACCGAAGUCUUGCCUACAGGAACUGCAGCGCUACAGCCAUGGAUGUCGACGUGGUGAACAUGUUUGUCCUGGCGGGAGGAACUCUAGUCAUCCCUAUCCUGGCCUUCUUUGCCUCAUUCUACAUGUGGCCUGCUGCUAUCAUCCAUGUCUACAACUGGUACUGGCGUCGGCGGCUGGGCCUGCAGGUUGUCUACUCUGAGAACAGAGGCUACCGGUUCUGUUACUCCCACAGAGGGAAGCCUGGUCCGGGCCGCCCCACUAUCCUCAUGCUCCACGGGUUUUCUGCUAACAAGGACAUGUGGCUGCCUGUGGCUAAGUUCCUGCCCAAGCACCAGCACCUGCUGUGCAUUGACAUGCCCGGACACGAGGGCACCAGCCGAACCGAUGCCAGAGACUAUUCCAUAGAGGGACAGGUCAAGAGGAUACGACAGUUCGUGGAGAGUGUCCGUCUGACCAAGAGGCCCUUCCAUCUCGUGGGCACAUCCAUGGGAGGAAACGUUGCUGGAGUAUACGCUGCCCGUUACCCCAACGACCUUUGCAGUGUCACCCUCAUCUGUCCGGCAGGUCUUCCUACCGAGAGUCCGUUUGUGGAGCGUCUGAGGGAGUUGGAGAAGGACCAGGAACUGAGUGGGAGCCUGGAUCCCCAGGGCAUCCCUCUGAUCCCCUCUACCCCAGAGGAGAUGGACAAUAUGCUCAAACUCUGCUCUUUCGUACGCUUCAAGAUCCCUCAACAGAUUCUUCAGGGAUUGGUGGAUGUUCGAGUUCCAAACAACGACUUCUAUAGAGAGUUGUUCAUGGAGAUCGUAGGAGAGAAGUCCAGACACUCCUUACAUGAGAACAUGCAUCUGAUCACUGUCCCAACACAGGUCAUCUGGGGGAAGCAUGACCAGGUGGUGGAUGUUUCUGGAUCAUCUAUGCUGAAGGAGGCUGUCUCUGACUGUCAGGUGGACCUGCUGGACAACUGUGGUCACUCUGUGGUGAUGGAGCGACCUCGCAAGACAGCUCAGCUCAUCAUGGACUUUAUCAAUAACCAACACAACACUGGCUCUGGCUCCAACAACAGCAAGAAACUCUCCUGAGAUUGACUACCUGGAGCUUAGACUUUAUAGUGCCCGUUUCCCGGGCAAAGUUAAACCAAGUCCUAGACGAAGAAGCACUUUCAAUGGGGGUUUGAUCUCCAUUGAACAUGCGUUUUAGUCAGGGACGAGGUUUGUCAAGGACUAGGUUCCAGUCAGUGACUAGGUUUCAGUCAGGGUUUCAGGUUUAAUUCGGGAAUAGAUUUCAUUUAGGGUUUCAGGUUUCAGUCAGAGACUAGGUUUCAGUCAGGGUUUCAGGUUUCAGUCAGAGACUAGGUUUCAGUCAGGGUUUCAGGUUUCAGUCAGGGUUUCAGGUUUCAGUCAGGGACUAGGUUUCAGUCAGGGACUAGGUUUCAGUCAGGGUUUCAGGUUUCAGUCAGAGACUAGGUUUCAGUCAGGGUUUCAGGUUUCAGUCAGGGUUUCAGGUUUCAGUCAGGGUUUCAGGUUUCAGUCAGGGACUAGGUUUCAGUCAGGGACUAGGUUUCAGUCAGGGUUUCAGGUUUCAGUCAGGGUUUCAGGUUUCAGUCAGGGACUAGGUUUCAGUCAGGGACUAGGUUUCAGUCAGGGUUUCAGGUUUCAGUCAGGGACUAGGUUUCAGUCAGGGACUAGGUUUCAGUCAGGGUUUCAGGUUUCAGUCAGGGUUUCAGGUUUCAGUCAGGGACUAGGUUUCAGUCAGGGACUAGGUUUCAGUCAGGGUUUCAGGUUUCAGUCAGGGUUUCAGGUUUCAGUCAGGGACUAGGUUUCAGUCAGGGUUUCAGGUUUCAGUCAGGGACUAGGUUUCAAUCAGGGUUUCAGGUUUCAGUCAGGGACUAGGUUUCAAUCAGGGUUUCAGGUUUCAGUCAGGGUUUCAGGUUUCAGUCAGGGUUUCAGGUUUCAGUCAGGGACUAGGUUUCAGUCAGGGAAUAGGUUUCAGUCAGGGUUUCAGGUUUCAGUCAGGGACUAGGUUUCAGUCAGGGUUUCAGGUUUCAGUCAGGGUUUCAGGUUUCAGUCUGGGACUAGGUUUCAGUCAGGGACUAGGUUUCAGUCAGGGUUUCAGGUUUCAGUCAGAGACUAGGUUUCAGUCAGGGACUAGGUUUCAGUCAGGGACUAGGUUUCAGUCAGGGUUUCAGGUUUCAGUCAGGGACUAGGUUUCAGUCAGAGACUAGGUUUCAGUCAGGGUUUCAGGUUUCAGUCAGGAUUUCAGGUUUCAGUCAGGGUUUCAGGUUUCAGUCAGGGUUUCAGGUUUCAGUCAGGGUUUCAGGUUUCAGUCAGGGUUUCAGUAAGGUACUAGGUUUUAGGUUUAAUCUGUGUCCAGGAAACCAGCCUACAGUGAGCGUUUAUCUGUAAAAAAUCUAAUAAUCUGUAAAUGAUGUAGUAAUAUUUUUCUAAUCUAGUCCUCAGGGAAUGAGCCCAUCAACCAACUGGCUGCGGUUUCAUGCUUGAAUUUGAUUUUAAGGUGAAGGAAGACUGUGUAAAAUACUGGGAUACAAUAUUGUGACAUUGUAUUUAUUUAGUGAUUUAAGGACCUUAACUUCAAAUGUGAUAUUCUUUGUUUAAUUUCCAAUGUGUUACUAAACUUACAUGAUUUUGCCAAAACAUGAUUUUUAUAUAUUGUAUUUGAGUUUGUGUUACCUCUGAGUCAGCUGAAGGACUGUGGUCGGUAGUGUCUGAGACUGAUCCCGCCUGAAAACACAAGAUGUAGAGAAAGACUCAAACUACUUCUAGUUGUUGUUAGAUUGCUUUGUCUUGUUGAAGGUUGGUACAUGGUCUUACUGUUAUCCACAGACAACAUAUUACACCUUGUACAUUAGGAACAUAUCGAAGGAGCAUUUGUCAUUGUGUUUUAUGAUCAAAUUAAAUGUCAUUAAAAACAAUGGAGCGACAAUGACGUACAUUUUGUAAUAUUAUUAUUAACCAAGUACUUUUUCUUCAAGCGCUGCUAUACCCUGUUAUAUGUGAUAUAACUUGACGGUAUCGAUGCAUGACGAUAGAGUAUCGAUGCAAUGAGACACAACAACCAACGCCUGCAUAUUUUCAAGUUUGCUUUGUUUAGUUUAAGCUGAUGCCAUGUCGAUAAGUUACACUGAGACAAAAAAAUCAUUUGUGACACUUGUUAUCCUUGUACAUGUUAAUGAGUUGUCAACCUCCUCAAUGUUUUUGCUUGUUCACGUAAAGCACCAAAUAAAACCCUUUUCUCAUGA